rnacentral:rRNA from 1 species
ACUCCUACGGGAGGCAGCAGUGGGGAAUAUUGCACAAUGGGCGAAAGCCUGAUGCAGCAACGCCGCGUGAGUGAUGAAGGUUUUCGGAUCGUAAAACUCUGUUCUAAGGGAAGAUAAUGACGGUACCUUAGGAGAAAGCCCCGGCUAACUACGUGCCAGCAGCCGCGGUAAUACGUAGGGGGCAAGCGUUAUCCGGAAUUACUGGGCGUAAAGGGUGCGUAGGUGGCCUGACAAGUCAGGGGUCAAAGGCAACGGCUCAACCGUUGUAAGCCCUUGAAACUGUCGGGCUUGAGUUCAGGAGAGGAAAGCGGAAUUCCAAGUGUAGCGGUGAAAUGCGUAGAUAUUUGGAGGAACACCAGUGGCGAAGGCGGCUUUCUGGACUGAUACUGACACUGAGGCACGAAAGCGUGGGGAGCAAACAGGAUUAGAUACCCUGGUAGUC